AUUUCCAUGACUCAUCACUGCAAGUACACUCUUCCAUUCCCUCUUCUUCGUGUUUCAAGGACUAAUCACUGCAGGACUAAUCUGAUGUUUUUGGUAUGAGUUUUCCUGUAGGAAGUGAUGACAGAUUAUGAGAAAGCUAGACAAGCAAGGAUAAAACAAAAUAGAAGCAGAAUGAAGGAUUUGGGGGUUACGUCCAUGGCUUAUCAAUUGAAACAAUCUAUGAAGGGAUCGAAACAAACGAAAAAAAGCAAGAAGGUGACUAAAGAUACUGACGAGUACACACCUGAUGAAGAGGGUGAAUUGAACCACUCAAGUGAAGAGGAUGAAAAUCAGAUAAGGAAAAACAGUUUAAACUUGAGGUCUCGUUCGAAAAAGGUUGUGGCAUUGAGAGGGAAGAAUCCCACAAACAUUAAAGACACGACAAGUGUCUCUUCGGUACCAAUGGCUAAUCUUGUUAAGAUGCGUCAUCAAAACAACGAAAAACAACAAGUAGGGCAAGGGUUGCAAGGGAGAGAUUCAACGCAAAGAAAAAUCCAAUUAGGCAAGUCUACUGCACAGAAAAAUCUAUCGUCCUAUAGUCAGCAAGAGAAAGGGGUUGAGAUUGGGAAUGGUGUCCAAGCUAAGAUAGCGCAGAGUAAGGCAAUGGUUGCUCCUGGUUCACUCAGUGCUUUCAGGCAAAUGAAAACACAAUUGAUAGAAAAAGAGAAAAGAGGAAAACAAACUUAUUUAUUACAACGACAACUACAACCUGUUAACAGGGCUAGUUCACAGGUGCUUUUAGGGGGUUCGCAAGCACACAGUUUUUCACAACCACAAAGAAUUGAACCUGACUUACAUGAAGAUUAUGAGAAUCAUAUGGGUUCAAAUGAAUGCAAUUUGGAACAAUAUGCGGAUGAAGAAGAUGAGUAAAGUGAAGACUUGAGUACUCUUACCCCCGAGGAGCUAGGAAUGCAAGUUGAACCGUUAAUGAAUCAAGAUCACGAAAGUGAAAAAAUAGUUAAUGUUGAUGUAGCACUUCCAAAAAAGAAGCGUAUCAGAGGACCAACUAUGUGUAAGGAUGUUCAUGAAUGGACAUUAGAAGAGCGUAAGCUUAUUGUUCUUAAUGAAAUUGGAAAGCCUAUUGGUCCUGACGAUAAGAUCGUAGAUACAUUUACAAGAUUCUUAGGGACAAUAGCUCGUAAUGCUUCUCUAGCGUCGUUGAACAAGAUUAAUUGGCAUCAUGUUAAAGACAAGGAAGAAAUAUGGAGUUAUGUGAAGGUAUGUACCUUUUAUUAUGUAUUCAAAGGCCAGUGUUUUGUGUCUUUUAUACAGAGUAUGAGUUACAUAGCUACUGUAAUUUUCAUAGAGCUCAAUGUUUUUUAUUGUGAGAAGAUACAACAUACACUUGACUUUAUCUAGCAGCCACAUAAUUAACCUACUUGCAAAAGACCUGACCUUCACAAUAGCAAACAAGUAGGCCUCUGCCAAGUAGCUAUCUUAACUAGAUCCCCCUUGUAAUUUUUUUUUCACACAUCCAGCACCCUGCAUAGCAAAAAAUUUCUGAUAUAAAAAAUAAUGUAGCGUGUGA